UACGUAGGCAGCGAGCGUUGUUCGGAGUUACUGGGCGUAAAGGGUGUGUAGGCGGUUGCUUAAGUUUGGUGUGAAAUCUCCCGGCUCAACUGGGAGGGUGCGCCGAAUACUGAGUGACUCGAGUGCGGGAGAGGAGAGUGGAAUUCCUGGUGUAGCGGUGAAAUGCGUAGAUAUCAGGAGGAACACCGGUGGUGUAGACGGCUCUCUGGACCGCCACUGACGCUGAGACACGAAAGCCGUGGGUAGCAAACAGG
rnacentral:rRNA from 1 species